rnacentral:misc_RNA from 1 species
AAGUCGUAACAAGGUUUCCGUAGGUGAACCUGCGGAAGGAUCAUUAUCACGUAAUAAUCCACGUUAUCAACCCUUUUCAAGUGAACUGUUUUGCACUACACUCUUUUUAAUAUUAAUGUGGCAUUUUCUGUUUGGUUUAAAUAAUAAUAGUGAUGUGUUGGUUAUUGUACAAUAAUAACCCCUUCAUUAUUAUUAUGAACAAGAUUUGCCUCUAUAUUAAAAAGUGUGUAUGUAUUUAUCUUAUUUCUUUUUUUUUUAACCAAUUGAACCAUACCACUUUUAAGAUUUUUGAACUGAUUUAACGAAAACAACAAAAGUCCAAGAUUGAAAAGUCUUGUCUGACUUAGUUUUCGUUACUAUAUUACGAAAACACUAGAACAACUCUUAGCAACGGAUAUCUUGGCUCUC